AGUCUUAUGAUUAAUUAUAUAAGAUAUUUUCUGCCCAGUGGAAAACUCUUAACGGCCGCAGUACCUUGACUGUGCUAAGGUAGCAUAAUAAAUUGUCUUUUAAUUGAAGUCUAGAAUGAAUGGAUGAAAUGGGAAGUUACUGUCUUUUAUUAAAUAAUUUGAAUUUUUUUAUAAGGUGAAAAUCCCUUAUAAUUAAGAAAAAAGACGAGAAGACCCUUAGAAUUUUUCUUAAAUUAAUAAUAAUUAUUAAUUUGUUUUGUUGGGGUGACAGAUUAACAUUUAAACUUAUUUUAUUUUUAAUAAAUAUCAAGUCGAAUAUUUUCUGAGAGGAAAAAUUACCUUAGGGAUAACAGCAUAAUUUUUAAGAAAGAUUGUGACCUCGAUGUUGGACUAGGGACCUUAUAAUUAGUAAUUAACUUGGCUAGUUCUGUUCGAACUUUACCCCCU
rnacentral:rRNA from 1 species